rnacentral:rRNA from 1 species
AUUGAACGCUGGCGGCAGGCCUAACACAUGCAAGUCGAGCGAGCGGCGGACGGGUGAGUAAUGUCUGGGAAACUGCCUGAUGGAGGGGGAUAACUACUGGAAACGGUAGCUAAUACCGCAUACCAUCGGAGGUGCUCAGAUGGGUUUAUCUUGUGGGUGGGGUACCGGCUCACCAAGGCGACGAUCCCUAGCUGGUCUUAGAGGAUGACCAGCCACACUGGAACUGAGACACGGUCCAGACUCCUACGGGAGGCAGCAGUGGGGAAUAUUGCACAAUGGGCGCAAGCCUGAUGCAGCCAGGCCGCGUGUAUGAAGAAGGCCUUCGGGUUGUGAAGUACUUUCAGCGGGGAGGCGUUACCCGCAGAAGAAGCACCGGCUAACUCCGUGCCAGCCGCCGCGGUAAUUC